rnacentral:rRNA from 1 species
AGUCUUCCCUGUCGCUUUAAGCGACCUAAAGGAACGUUUAAGACUAAGACGUUGAUAGGCUGGGUGUGUAAGCGUAGCGAUACGUUGAGCUAACCAGUACUAAUGAACCGUGAGGCUUAACCUG